AAAGAAUAUGAUAAACCACCUGACUGAUUCAUGUAGCCUCAUGAGAUUGUAAUUCUAGUCUAAAAUGUUAUGUUUUUUUGAUUAGGUGUGUUUAUCGAGGGAUUCAGGAAGACCUGUGAGGGCCCUAAUCCAAAUUAUAAGCUGAGUGAAAAUUGUGCCUCAAAGGUCAAGAGGGUGACGCAAUUUUUAAACUACAUGGCGAAGAAUGAGACCUACCAGUCCUCUCUCAUUUUCCUGACAGACCAUGACAAAAUAAGGAAGUAAGCAGAAUAAUUUUUUCUCUCUAGCCUCACAAGCAUUAACCAACAAUACAGUAUUUGAUUGUAUGAUUUGUGUGUGUGUGUGUGUGUGUGUGUGUGUGUGUGUGUGUUUUUAGAUGGGUUCAAUUCCUCCAGAAGAACAAGGCAAUCACCACAGUCAACCACUACACCUUGACUAUUGGUGCAUUUCUUAAAUAUUCUGAGGAGACCCCUCCAUCUGGCUGCCGGCUGACCGUGAACCAAUGGAGGGGGAUCAACCGGUUGAUGAAGGGCAUUAGCAAGUCCAUGAGACGACCAGUUUCCCUUCACCAGAUAAAGGUGAAGGACAACAAGGAAGGCAAGGUGGUGUCCAAAAAGAGCCUGCUGCAGUGCCAGUCUCUUGCCAAGGCCAAAAUCCCUCAAGUGCUGAAAACAUUGGAAGAAACAAGGACACAGAGGAAUCAGUACAGGUUUUAUGGGUACCUGUGUGCCUACUUUACAUCCAUAUACGGCCACAGACCAGGCCUAUAUAAAAACAUGUUGGUGAAAGAGGUGGAGGAGGCAAAAUGUGACCAGUCUGGGGUGUACCUGAUCAAUGUAAGUCUAUGAAAUACAGCUGGCUGUGUUUAUUUGUUUGUUUGCUUGGUUGGUUAUCUUUGGAAACAAUUGCAGUCGCAGGAGCGUAAUGUGUUUUUUUGUGUUUUUUCUCUGUUCAAUUUCUAUUAGGUGGGGGAACACAAAACAAAUCGGGAGUACGGCAUGGUCCAGAUGUCGCUGACAAAGGAGGAGUACAGCUGGUUUUCCGACUUCCUCAAAUUCAAGCACUGUCUCUUAGGGGGAAAGAAGGCCCAGCACUUCUUUUUCAAUUCAACAAACACUCAGAUGAAGAACCUGCCUGCCUACCUGAGGGAGGUGUGGAAGGAGAUGGGUCUGCCCGAAUGUCCUUCAUUCACUGACCUGAGGACCACCAUUGUCACUCAUGUAGGUCAGAUUAGAUAGGAAUCUAAUUAAUGUAAGAUCCUAUUCUAUUGUUGUCUGAAGUAAUAUCAAUAAUAUCAUAUAUUUGUGUGUGUGUGUGUGUGUGU
rnacentral:lncRNA from 1 species